AGUGAACGCUGGCGGUAGGCCUAACACAUGCAAGUCGAACGGCAGCACAGUAAGAGCUUGCUCUUACGGGUGGCGAGUGGCGGACGGGUGAGGAAUACAUCGGAAUCUACUUUUUCGUGGGGGAUAACGUAGGGAAACUUACGCUAAUACCGCAUACGACCUACGGGUGAAAGCAGGGGAUCUUCGGACCUUGCGCGAUUGAAUGAGCCGAUGUCGGAUUAGCUAGUUGGCGGGGUAAAGGUCCACCAAGGCGACGAUCCGUAGCUGGUCUGAGAGGAUGAUCAGCCACACUGGAACUGAGACACGGUCCAGACUCCUACGGGAGGCAGCAGUGGGGAAUAUUGGACAAUGGGCGCAAGCCUGAUCCAGCCAUACCGCGUGGGUGAAGAAGGCCUUCGGGUUGUAAAGCCCUUUUGUUGGGAAAGAAAAGCAGCAGGUUAAUAUCCCGCUGUUCCGACGGUACCCAAAGAAUAAGCACCGGCUAACUUCGUG
rnacentral:rRNA from 1 species